CUUGCAAAGUUUGCAAAUUUUGUAUACUUUUGUAUUGCAUGCGAAAAUUGCAAUACAAAAGUAUACAAAAUUUGCAAACUUUGGAAGGUUAU
rnacentral:miRNA from 1 species